AUUCAAGAGAAACUGUUGGAUUUCAAGGAAUCAAACAAGGUGGUGAGCCCUCUGGUAAGGGUAAGGAUAUCGUACCCGAGAAUCAAAAAUAGGAGUACUCCAUACUCUUGUUAUUCUUACUGUAGUGGGCGGGUUUCCGUAGAUCAGCCUAUUAGAGGGGCACAGUAAACCCGGUGAUAUAUUACCUUGGUACGAAAGGCGCAGAGGGUAUCUCCUAAGGUAACGUUAGAGUUCACUUCACGUCGAACCACCACAUGAAGGUGAAACU